rnacentral:rRNA from 1 species
GACGAACGCUGGCGGCGUGCUUAACACAUGCAAGUCGAACGAUGAUGCCCAGCUUGCUGGGUGGAUUAGUGGCGAACGGGUGAGUAACACGUGAGUAACCUGCCCCUGACUCUGGGAUAAGCGUUGGAAACGACGUCUAAUACUGGAUAUGAUCACUGGCCGCAUGGUCUGGUGGUGGAAAGAUUUUUUGGUUGGGGAUGGACUCGCGGCCUAUCAGCUUGUUGGUGAGGUAAUGGCUCACCAAGGCGACGACGGGUAGCCGGCCUGAGAGGGUGACCGGCCACACUGGGACUGAGACACGGCCCAGACUCCUACGGGAGGCAGCAGUGGGGAAUAUUGCACAAUGGGCGAAAGCCUGAUGCAGCAACGCCGCGUGAGGGAUGACGGCCUUCGGGUUGUAAACCUCUUUUAGUAGGGAAGAAGCGAAAGUGACGGUACCUGCAGAACAAGCACCGGCUAACUACGUGCCAGCAGCCGCGGUAAUACGUAGGGUGCAAGCGUUGUCCGGAAUUAUUGGGCGUAAAGAGCUCGUAGGCGGUUUGUCGCGUCUGCUGUGAAAUCCCGAGGCUCAACCUCGGGCUUGCAGUGGGUACGGGCAGACUAGAGUGCGGUAGGGGAGAUUGGAAUUCCUGGUGUAGCGGUGGAAUGCGCAGAUAUCAGGAGGAACACCGAUGGCGAAGGCAGAUCUCUGGGCCGUAACUGACGCUGAGGAGCGAAAGCAUGGGGAGCGAACAGGAUUAGAUACCCUGGUAGUCCAUGCCGUAAACGUUGGGCGCUAGAUGUAGGGACCUUUCCACGGUUUCUGUGUCGUAGCUAACGCAUUAAGCGCCCCGCCUGGGGAGUACGGCCGCAAGGCUAGAACUCAAAGGAAUUGACGGGGGCCCGCACAAGCGGCGGAGCAUGCGGAUUAAUUCGAUGCAACGCGAAGAACCUUACCAAGGCUUGACAUACACCGGAAACGGCCAGAGAUGGUCGCCCCCUUGUGGUCGGUGUACAGGUGGUGCAUGGUUGUCGUCAGCUCGUGUCGUGAGAUGUUGGGUUAAGUCCCGCAACGAGCGCAACCCUCGUUCUAUGUUGCCAGCGGGUUAUGCCGGGGACUCAUAGGAGACUGCCGGGGUCAACUCGGAGGAAGGUGGGGAUGACGUCAAAUCAUCAUGCCCCUUAUGUCUUGGGCUUCACGCAUGCUACAAUGGCCGGUACAAAGGGCUGCGAUACCGUAAGGUGGAGCGAAUCCCAAAAAGCCGGUCUCAGUUCGGAUUGAGGUCUGCAACUCGACCUCAUGAAGUCGGAGUCGCUAGUAAUCGCAGAUCAGCAACGCUGCGGUGAAUACGUUCCCGGGCCUUGUACACACCGCCCGUCAAGUCAUGAAAGUCGGUAACACCCGAAGCCGGUGGCCUAACCCUUGUGGAAGGAGCCGUCGAAGGUGGGAUCGGUGAUUAGGACUAAGUCGUAACAAGGUAGCCGUACCGGAAGGUGC